GUUGGUCAUUAUGGAGGUGGUGUCGUGUCUGUCUCUCUCUCUGUCUCUAUCUGUUGGUCAUUAUGGAGGUGGUGUCGUGUCUGUCUCUCUCUCUGUCUCUAUCUGUUGGUCAUUAUGGAGGUGGUGUCGUGUCUGUCUCUCUCUCUGUCUCUAUCUGUUGGUCAUUAUGGAGGUGGUGUCGUGUCUGUCUCUCUCUCUGUCUCUAUCUGUUGGUCAUU